rnacentral:rRNA from 1 species
AGAGUUUGAUCAUGGCUCAGAUUGAACGCUGGCGGCAGGCCUAACACAUGCAAGUCGAGCGGUAGCACAGAGAGCUUGCUCUCGGGUGACGAGCGGCGGACGGGUGAGUAAUGUCUGGGAAACUGCCUGAUGGAGGGGGAUAACUACUGGAAACGGUAGCUAAUACCGCAUAAUGUCGCAAGACCAAAGUGGGGGACCUUCUGGCCUCAUGCCAUCAGAUGUGCCCAGAUGGGAUUAGCUAGUAGGUGGGGUAACGGCUCACCUAGGCGACGAUCCCUAGCUGGUCUGAGAGGAUGACCAGCCACACUGGAACUGAGACACGGUCCAGACUCCUACGGGAGGCAGCAGUGGGGAAUAUUGCACAAUGGGCGCAAGCCUGAUGCAGCCAUGCCGCGUGUGUGAAGAAGGCCUUCGGGUUGUAAAGCACUUUCAGCGGGGAGGAAGGCGUUAAGGUUAAUAACCUUGUCGAUUGACGUUACCCGCAGAAGAAGCACCGGCUAACUCCGUGCCAGCAGCCGCGGUAAUACGGAGGGUGCAAGCGUUAAUCGGAAUUACUGGGCGUAAAGCGCACGCAGGCGGUCUGUCAAGUCGGAUGUGAAAUCCCCGGGCUCAACCUGGGAACUGCAUUCGAAACUGGCAGGCUAGAGUCUUGUAGAGGGGGGUAGAAUUCCAGGUGUAGCGGUGAAAUGCGUAGAGAUCUGGAGGAAUACCGGUGGCGAAGGCGGCCCCCUGGACAAAGACUGACGCUCAGGUGCGAAAGCGUGGGGAGCAAACAGGAUUAGAUACCCUGGUAGUCCACGCCGUAAACGAUGUCGAUUUGGAGGUUGUGCCCUUGAGGCGUGGCUUCCGGAGCUAACGCGUUAAAUCGACCGCCUGGGGAGUACGGCCGCAAGGUUAAAACUCAAAUGAAUUGACGGGGGCCCGCACAAGCGGUGGAGCAUGUGGUUUAAUUCGAUGCAACGCGAAGAACCUUACCUGGUCUUGACAUCCACAGAACUUUCCAGAGAUGGAUUGGUGCCUUCGGGAACUGUGAGACAGGUGCUGCAUGGCUGUCGUCAGCUCGUGUUGUGAAAUGUUGGGUUAAGUCCCGCAACGAGCGCAACCCUUAUCCUUUGUUGCCAGCGGUCCGGCCGGGAACUCAAAGGAGACUGCCAGUGAUAAACUGGAGGAAGGUGGGGAUGACGUCAAGUCAUCAUGGCCCUUACGACCAGGGCUACACACGUGCUACAAUGGCAUAUACAAAGAGAAGCGACCUCGCGAGAGCAAGCGGACCUCAUAAAGUAUGUCGUAGUCCGGAUUGGAGUCUGCAACUCGACUCCAUGAAGUCGGAAUCGCUAGUAAUCGUAGAUCAGAAUGCUACGGUGAAUACGUUCCCGGGCCUUGUACACACCGCCCGUCACACCAUGGGAGUGGGUUGCAAAAGAAGUAGGUAGCUUAACCUUCGGGAGGGCGCUUACCACUUUGUGAUUCAUGACUGGGGUGAAGUCGUAACAAGGUAACCGUAGGGGAACCUGCGGUUGGAUCACCU